UGCUACCAACUGGCCAAUCCGAGAAACAGCGAAGGUGAGCUAGAGGCGCGAGAGGUAGCGGGAAUGGAGCGUGUGCGUUUGAUUGGCUGAGAAGCAGGUAGAGGCGGACUUACUACGUUCCUUGAGAACAAUUUGCAUCAUAUUUCAGUCUUCACUAAUACGAUAUCUGGAACAAAAAUAUAUAUAAAAAUAUUCAAGAAGGAGAAAUUCAAGGUAAAAACAGAGUGCAUUAAAACUUGAAAGACAAAGGAAUGGAAUUAUGAAAUGGAAUAAUAAACAUAAGCUGGAAUCAUAUCUGGCUAGAAUGCUAUGGGAUCCUCGGACAGUCUGUGAACAUAUAUCUGACAUUUGUCCGGACUGUCUUGUUUUGGCACUGUGUUUAUAUAACAUGGGUCAUCAAGCAUUCUGCCAUUGCUAACUUGUGGUUUCAGUAAUUUGGAAGGUGAGU